AAUUAAAACAUAAAAAAAAUAAAGAAUAUAAAAUCAUUUAAGAAAAGACAAAGAAUUAGUUACUUGCGCAGGUCUAGGACUAGGGUUUAUGUUUUACGCGCUUAUAUCGGUCUCUCUUUAGCUUUGAUUAACGUUCAUAUUGUUUGAGAGGUUCUCUUAUCUUUUUUCUGAAGAGUAAGGGAAAACGCUUCCGUUGAACAAUCAGAUCCGGACGGGUUUAUUUGAGGAUAUGGCUGGCAGUGAGGAGAAACAAUCUAAAGCUAAGGACUUUAAAGCCAAGCUGAGUGGCGGAGGGAAGAAGAAGGAGGUGAAGAAAGAGACCGGUUUAGGACUCUCACAUAAGAAAGACGAGAACUUUGGGGAGUGGUAUUCUGAGGUUGUUGUGAAUGGUGAAAUGAUUGAGUAUUAUGACAUCUCUGGUUGCUAUAUUAUAAGGCCUUGGGCAAUGUCAAUUUGGGAGACAAUGCAGAGAUUCUUUGAUCCAGAAAUUAAGAAAAUGAAGAUCCAGAAUUGUUACUUUCCUCUCUUUGUAUCCCCUACUGUACUGCAAAAGGAAAAAGAUCACAUUGAAGGUUUUGCUCCAGAGGUUGCUUGGGUGACAAAAUCAGGGGAAUCUGAAUUGGAGGUUCCUAUUGCAAUCCGCCCAACUAGUGAAACAGUGAUGUAUCCCUACUAUUCUAAGUGGAUAAGGGGACACCGUGAUUUGCCUUUGAAACUGAACCAAUGGUGCAAUGUUGUUCGAUGGGAGUUCAGCAAUCCUACCCCCUUUAUCAGGAGUCGUGAAUUUCUCUGGCAGGAAGGGCAUACUGCUUUUGCAACAAAGGAGGAAGCAGAUGCAGAGGUCCUUGAUAUAUUGGAGCUUUACAGACGUAUUUACGAGGAAUUCUUGGCAAUUCCUGUUAUAAAAGGCAAGAAGAGUGAGCUAGAGAAGUUUGCUGGUGGGCUUUACACAAAAAGUGUCGAGGCAUUUAUUCCAAAUACUGGCCGUGGUGUACAAGGUGCAACAUCACAUUGUUUGGGUCAAAACUUUUCAAAAAUGUUUGAAAUAAACUUUGAAAAUGAGAAGGGAGAGAAAGCUACGGCCUGGCAGAACUCCUGGGCUUACAGUACCCGCACAAUUGGGGUAAUGGUGAUGGUUCAUGGGGAUGAUAAAGGCUUGGUGUUGCCGCCUAAAGUAGCUUCUGUGCAAGUUAUUGUGAUUCCUGUGCCAUACAAAGAUGCUGACACUCAAGGAAUUUUAGAUGCCUGCAAUGCCACUGUAGAAACCUUGUGUGAAGCGGGUAUUCGUGCUAGUUCUGACUUUAGAGAGAACUACUCUCCUGGAUGGAAGUACUCACACUGGGAAAUGAAAGGUGUACCUCUGAGGAUUGAAAUAGGGCCAAAAGACUUGGCAAAUAAUCAGGUACGUGCUGUUCGACGUGACAAUGGAGCAAAAGUUGAUUUGUCGAGGGACUCUUUGGUUAAGAAAGUAGAAGAACUUCUUGAGAAUAUUCAAGAUAGCUUGUUUAAUGCUGCAGAGCAAAAACGAGAUGCUUGCAUUCAAAUUGUAAAAACUUGGGAUGAAUUUGUGGCGGCUCUUGGCCAAAAAAAAUUAAUCUUGGCUCCUUGGUGUGAUGAGGAGGAGGUGGAGAAAGAUGUUAAAGCACGAACCAAGGGUGAGAUGGGAGCAGCAAAGAGCCUUUGUUCCCCACUGGAGCAGCCUGAAAUGCCUGAAGGUACCAUCUGCUUCGCCUCCGGGAAGCCUGCAACAAAAUGGACCUACUGGGGCAGAAGUUACUAGAGUCUCAACUGAAGUUCCGUUGACACUGCAUUUUGUCCAUCUUCUUUUGUUUCUCCAAUGUUUAUGCAACUCACAUCAAAUUGCAGAGACUGACAGGAUAGAUUAUAGAUUUUGAAGGUUGCCAAAUGAUAAUUUGGCAUGCGGAUCAACCACGCACGUGUGGGGGGUUGUAGUUGGAAAUGUGAAGGAUAUGCCGAUCUCAAGUAAAGUUAACAUAUAAGCUCAAAAUUAAUUUAAAUCUUUAAUGUGGAACAUCUGAUAAC